rnacentral:tRNA from 1 species
CGGGACAUAGCGCAGUUUGGUAGCGCGCUUGCUUUGGGAGCAAGAUGUCGCGGGUUCAAAUCCCGCUGUCCCGACCG